UGAGUACGAGAUGCUACGGCAUCGAAGCAGUCUAUGUCAUACUUCCAAGAAAAGCUUGCACUGUCAGAAACAGAUAAUGCCUGUACCAUAACCGACACAGGUGGGUAGGUAGAGUAUACUAAGGGGCGCGAGAUAACUCUCUCUAAGGAACUCGGCAAAAUGACUCCGUAACUUCGGGAGAAGGAGUGCCUUAUUUUUAAGGUUGCAAUAACAAGAUCCAAGCAACUGUUUACCAAAAACACAGGUCUCCGCUAAGUCGUAAGACGAUGUAUGGGGGCUGACGCCUGCCCAGUGCCAGAAGGUUAAAGAAGUCGGUUAGCAUUCGCGAAGCUGGUAACUGAAGCCCUGGUGAACGGCGGCCGUAACUAUAACGGUCCUAAGGUAGCGAAAUUCCUUGUCGGGUAAGUUCCGACCCGCACGAAAGGCGUAAUGAUUUGGAUACUGUCUCGGAGAGGGGCUCGGUGAAAUAGACUUGUCUGUGAAGAUGCGGACUACCUGCACCUGGACAGAAAGACCCUAUGAAGCUUUACUGUAACUUGAAAUUGAAAUUGGACUUUAUUUGCGCAGUAUAGGUGGGAGGCGUUGAAAAUAUUCUUGCGGGAAUAUUGGAGCCAUCAGUGAGAUACCACUCUUGUAAUGUUAGAUUUCUAACUUUAUAUCAUUAUCUGGUUAAAGAACAGUUUCAGGCGGGCAGUUUGACUGGGGCGGUCGCCUCCCAAAUGGUAACGGAGGCGCACAAAGGUUUCCUCUGAACGGGUAGAAAUCGUAUCUAGAGUGUAAAGGCAUAAGGAAGCUUGACUGUGAGACCUACAAGUCGAGCAGGGACGAAAGUCGGUCUUAGUGAUCUGACGGUGCUGAGUGGAAAGGCCGUCACUCAACGGAUAAAAGUUACUCUAGGAUAACAGGCUGAUCUCCCCCAAGAGUUCACAUCGACGGGGAGGUUUGGCACCUCGAUGUCGGCUCAUCGCAUCCUGGGGCGGUAGUACGUCCCAAGGGUUGGGCUGUUCGCCCAUGAAAGCGGUACGCGAGCUGGGUUCAGAACGUCGUGAGACAGUUCGGUCCAUAUCCGGUGUAGGCGUUAGAAUAUUGAGAGGAGCCUUCUUUAGUACGAGAGGACCGAGAAGGACAUACCUCUGGUGUACCAGUUAUCGUGCCAACGGUAAACGCUGGGUAGCUAUGUAUGGAGUGGAUAACCGCUGAAAGCAUCUAAGUGGGAAGCCCACCUCAAGAUAAGUAUUCUC
rnacentral:rRNA from 1 species